rnacentral:tRNA from 2 species
GGACUCGUCGCCUAAUUGGAAUGGCCCCAGACUCUUAAUCUGGCGGGCGUUACGCCCAUUGGGAGUUCGAGUCUCCCCGGGUCCA